rnacentral:tRNA from 1 species
GAGAAAGUAUGCGAGAACUGCUAACUCUCCGCCCCCGCGCCCAAAAUCGCGGCUUUCUUA